GAAUUGAUGCCUAAGCGGUCUAUGGCAACGGACUGUAACUCCGUUGAUUAUUGAAAUCCUAAUCUUCAUCAGUUCA
rnacentral:tRNA from 1 species